GACGAAGGGGGCUAGCGUUGCUCGGAAUCACUGGGCGUAAAGGGCGCGUAGGCGGACUCUUAAGUCAGGGGUGAAAGCCUGAGGCUCAACCUCAGAACUGCCUUUGAUACUGAGAGUCUCGAGACCGGUAGAGGUAAGUGGAACUGCGAGUGUAGAGGUGAAAUUCGUAGAUAUUCGCAAGAACACCAGUGGCGAAGGCGGCUUACUGGACCGGUUCUGACGCUGAGGCGCGAAAGCGUGGGGAGCAAACAGG
rnacentral:rRNA from 1 species